rnacentral:tRNA from 1 species
AGGGUUGUGGCUCAGUGGUAGAGAGAUUGCCUAGCAUGCAUGAAGCACUGGGUUCCAUCCCCAGCACCCCAU